GUAAACUUGACUUUUUCCAGGUGUGCGCAAACCAGCGGCACGUAAUCGAGUAAAAAAGUACAGAUCUAGUCACGAAAGAAGACUUUCAGAGUGGUGAGGAGGUAAUUCAUGUGAACUGAUCUGCAUCACUGAACACUGAAGAGCUCCACAAAAACCAUAAAAUAAAGAUUUCUGAUGGUUCUUUAAGUCAGACGGGAGCUGAGCAUAUGUCAAAGG